rfam:Salmo salar isolate Sally breed double haploid chromosome ssa04, whole genome shotgun sequence.
CUGAGUUCUUAGCUUUGAGAACUGAAUUCCAAGGGUUGUAUUUCUGAAGUCAGCCCAUGGAGCUCAGUUCUUAAGCCUGGACGCUCCCU